GGGUUGUGAGGUUAAGCGACUAAGCGUACACGGUGGAUGCCCUGGCAGUCAGAGGCGAUGAAGGGCGUGCUAAUCUGCGAUAAGCGCCGGUAAGGUGAUAUGAACCGUUAUAACCGGCGAUACCCGAAUGGGGAAACCCAGUGUGAUUCGUCACACUAUCAUUAACUGAAUCCAUAGGUUAAUGAGGCGAACCGGGGGAACUGAAACAUCUAAGUACCCCGAGGAAAAGAAAUCAACCGAGAUUCCCCCAGUAGCGGCGAGCGAACGGGGAGGAGCCCAGAGCCUGAAUCAGCAUGUGUGUUAGUGGAAGCGUCUGGAAAGGUGCGCGAUACAGGGUGACAGCCCCGUACACAAAAGCGCAUGUGCUGUGAGCUCGAUGAGUAGGGCGGGACACGUGGUAUCCUGUCUGAAUAUGGGGGGACCAUCCUCCAAGGCUAAAUACUCCUGACUGACCGAUAGUGAACCAGUACCGUGAGGGAAAGGCGAAAAGAACCCCGGCGAGGGGAGUGAAAAAGAACCUGAAACCGUGUACGUACAAGCAGUGGGAGCACAGGUUUACCUGUGUGACUGCGUACCUUUUGUAUAAUGGGUCAGCGACUUAUAUUCUGUAGCAAGGUUAACCGUAUAGGGGAGCCGGAGGGAAACCGAGUCUUAAUUGGGCGUUAAGUUGCAGGGUAUAGACCCGAAACCCGGUGAUCUAGCCAUGGGCAGGUUGAAGGUUGGGUAACACUAACUGGAGGACCGAACCGACUAAUGUUGAAAAAUUAGCGGAUGACCUGUGGCUGGGGGUGAAAGGCCAAUCAAACCGGGAGAUAGCUGGUUCUCCCCGAAAGCUAUUUAGGUAGCGCCUCGUGAAUUCAUCUCCGGGGGUAGAGCACUGUUUCGGCUAGGGGGCCAUCCCGGCUUACCAACCCGAUGCAAACUGCGAAUACCGGAGAAUGUUAUCACGGGAGACACACGGCGGGUGCUAACGUCCGUCGUGAAGAGGGAAACAACCCAGACCGCCAGCUAAGGUCCCAAAGUCAUGGUUAAGUGGGAAACGAUGUGGGAAGGCCCAGACAGCCAGGAUGUUGGCUUAGAAGCAGCCAUCAUUUAAAGAAAGCGUAAUAGCUCACUGGUCGAGUCGGCCUGCGCGGAAGAUGUAACGGGGCUAAACCAUGCACCGAAGCUGCGGCAGCGAACGUAUCACCCAAGACAACUUUACGGAGUUGACGAUUGACGGAGCGAAGCGACGUCAAAGCGUUCAUUAAAGUCGAGUUGGCUUAGGGAUACGUUCGUUGGGUAGGGGAGCGUUCUGUAAGCCUGUGAAGGUGUGUCGUGAGGCAUGCUGGAGGUAUCAGAAGUGCGAAUGCUGACAUAAGUAACGAUAAAGCGGGUGAAAAGCCCGCUCGCCGGAAGACCAAGGGUUCCUGUCCAACGUUAAUCGGGGCAGGGUGAGUCGACCCCUAAGGCGAGGCCGAAAGGCGUAGUCGAUGGGAAACGGGUUAAUAUUCCCGUACUUGGUGUUACUGCGAAGGGGGGACGGAGAAGGCUAUGUUGGCCGGGCGACGGUUGUCCCGGUUUAAGCGUGUAGGUGUGUGUUCCAGGUAAAUCCGGUUCACUUUAACACUGAGGCGUGACGACGAGGCACUACGGUGCUGAAGCAACAAAUGCCCUGCUUCCAGGAAAAGCCUCUAAGCAUCAGGUAACAUCAAAUCGUA
rnacentral:rRNA from 1 species